rnacentral:rRNA from 1 species
AGUGAACGCUGGCGGCAGGCCUAAUACAUGCAAGUCGAACGGCAGCACAGUGGAGCUUGCUCCAUGGGCGGCGAGUGGCGGACGGGUAAGGAAUACAUGGGAAUCUGCCCAGUCGUGGGGGAUAACGUAUGGAAACGUACGCUAAUACCGCAUGCGCCCUUCGGGGGAAAGUCGGGGACCGCAAGGCCUGACGCGAUUGGAUGAGCCCAUGUUCGAUUAGCUAGUUGGCGGGGUAACGGCCCACCAAGGCGACGAUCGAUAGCUGGUCUGAGAGGAUGAUCAGCCACACUGGAACUGAGACACGGUCCAGACUCCUACGGGAGGCAGCAGUAGGGAAUAUUGGACAAUGGGGGCAACCCUGAUCCAGCCAUGCCGCGUGAGUGAAGAAGGCCCUCGGGUUGUAAAGCUCUUUUGUUGGGGAAAAAAGCAGUUGGUUAAUACCCGAUUGUCUGACGGUACCCAAGAAUAAGCACCGGCUAACUUCGUGCCAGCAGCCGCGGUAAU